rnacentral:rRNA from 1 species
AACGAACGCUGGCGGCGCGUCUUAAACAUGCAAGUCGAACGGCACGAAGGGGCUUGCCCCUUCUGAGAGUGGGGGACUGGGGUGUAACACGUGGGUGACAUACCAUUUCGUAGGGGCUAGCUAUCUGAAAUAGUCGGUAUUAAGGAAUGUGGGCGUACCUGUUGGAGGGGUAUGCGGACAGGACCUAAGGCUUCGCUGAAAGAAUGGCUCGCGGCCCAUUAUGGUCGUUGGUAAGGUCACGGCCCACCAAGGCGACGAUGGGUAUCCGGAGUGCGAGGGUGAACGCACACAUUAGGACGGAUACACGGCCCAGACUACUGCGGGAGGCAGCAGUUAAGAAUAUGCCGCAAUGGAGGAAAGUCUGACGGAGCGACGCCGCGUGGAUGGAGAAGGCCGAAAGGUGGUAAGAUCCUUUUAAGCCUGAUGAACAAGCACAGAAGGGGAUGAUCGUGCGGUGACCGUAGUGCGUGAAUAAGCACCGGCUAAAUACGUG